AAACGCCCGUCCUCUGGCUGCCUUCAGUCGCCUGCAGCGUCAGAUGAGCUGCGGAUUUAAGAUGGAGAGCAAUGCAGUCACAAACACACAGGGAGCUGCUGGUAGCUUCCUGUCUGACCGCAGUAACGUUCGCUGCCACCUCAGCACAGCGACAGAUGAAAGAGCCGCAGCUUAUCACCAGCAGCCAAACACAACCGACUCUCUGCUGCAGUAACUGAAGCUGCAGCGGGUCUGCGAGCCGGGGAAGCCCCCCCAACCAACAAAACAGCCGACGCUUGCUGCUGGAAAGGCCUCUCAGUUUACUUUCAUCUGUGUUCUUCAGACUACAGGUGGAUGUGUGGGUUAUAAAAGAAAGUCUUCCUCUUCUGUCUGCUAAGUGUGAGCAAUAAUAAACCUUAGACGGACUUGUUGACAUUGUGUGCUAAUGUCCUCCACUAUAUCAAGCAUCUUCUGGAAAACCCAACACUAUCAAGUGACUGCACAAAAACUUCUAUCAGCUUCAGGAUGCAUUUUGCUUUAAAUUGUUGCAAUUUGUUUAAAUAUCAGGAUGCUGGAAGAUAAGUUAAAGGAAGAACUGAAGCUCUGUGCAACAGUUUACACUAGAUAAAGUGAUCAUCACCAGAGUGCACACCUCUAUAGAAUAAAGAGUUGUACCAGUUUGAUGUUCUGGAAAAAGCAUUUCAGAGUUAGCACAAUGCCAAAAGAUGAAGAGGGAAAUAUUUCAGCAAUGGCCUCAGAGAAGCAACUGUUGCUUCCCAUCAAUCCAGGAAGUCUUAUAAAACCACAUCCAAAUGAUUUGAUAUCCAGUGUUCUACAGAGGAAAGGAUAACUCACAAGUGGAAAACAUUUGAGACAGCUGCCAGUCCCCCCAGGAAUGGACAUCUUAGCAAAGUCACUCCAAUGUCAGAGCGUAAAAUGCUCAGAAAAAUAACAAAACAAAACCCAUGAGCUCAAUCUUAGACUCUGUAUGCUUCAGAUGGAAUGUUGAAAGAUCGUGUAAAAGAAAUAAACCAACCGUCAGGGACGGUGGCAGAAGGA